rnacentral:lncRNA from 1 species
AAAGAGAAACCAAUGCAUCCCUAAACCUAGUCUCUCAGGCUCUCAGCGCCCCAUUUUUCAUCCUCUGACUCGGAGUAUUUCUCAUUCGUCUUUCUUUCCCUAAUCUGUCAAUGCCAAUCUAUGAUUAUCGCCAUCAUAACUCAUUCCUGAAGUUCUUGUUAACACGAAGAAUCUCUGCUAUUUACAUUGCUCGGAGCAGAUUGAGGGGUUGCUGCUGUAAUUGUACAGGUGUCCAUUACUCAGUCAAGAUUCAUGACGAAUUUGGUGGGAGAAAAGAGUUUGGCCUUACGCAAUUAGCCAGGAUUCAGAUUUUGGAGAUGGGUCGUUUGGAUGAGCAACACUUUUUCUGAUUUCUAAAUUGGAGAAAUGUGGAUGGUGACUGUAGAAAAAUCAAAUCUUCAUAUAUAGGUCUGUCCCUGGGUAUGUGCCUCUGUUCUUAAAGAAUAUUGAAACCGAUUGAAAGUUGUGAGUUGUAAUUUUAGCUUUGUAUUUGUGGAUAUUGUUCUCCAUUUUUUCUUUGGCCUCUCUCCAAUUUCUUAAAUCUCUUUCAUUUAUGUAAUAGUGUCGCUCUUAAAUUUGCAGAAAAUAAUUUUUUUUCCAGUUACAGUAGUGAACUUGUGAGUUUUGAAAUAUUCGAAUUUCAAAAUAAUACGGUUCAGAACUUUAAAUUAUCAUAAUUUAUUGGUUUUGAAUCUAUUUUUUGUGAUUCUUAAUUUCUUAUAUCAAAUUUAAGAUGGUGACUUCACCAUCUUUAAUUUAAGAUGCAUAUUGAGUAUUUAUUCAUGAAUGAAAUUCCAUAAUUUUUUGAAAAAGAAGCAAAACAUCAAAAAAAAAAAAAAACUGAGAAAAGAACGAGAGAGAAAUUUGCCGGACAAAUUAUCCGUUAAACUGUUGUUUUAUAUAAUAUAUAGAUAUAGAUUUUGAUUUGAACAUUCUUUUAUUCUGCACGCAAAUUUGUUUUUGAGUAGCAAUAUCAGACUUAAUCUUGCUUUUAUUUAUUUUAAAAUAGUUUCUUGGUUUCUAAGCCGUCUGUUUUGAUACAUGUAUAGAAAUUGAUCGAAGUAGUGAUGGACGUUUCUUAUUUUCUGCCCAAGAAGGUAAUCUCAAUCUCCCAUAGUAUCUGCUGUCUUUUCUCUUUGAUGGUUGAUUCUUGUUUUGGCUCUUUCAGGAAUGAAAAGUUGUAUUUAAUUUCAUGAUAUGAUGAUAUGAAUCGUGUUAUCCUGGGAAUAUUUCGGCUAAUGAGAAUCAUGUAUUAAUCUUCUGCACGUUCAGUCAUUGUUCUUCAUGUUAUUGUUAUUGAUUUCUUGUUAUUGAAUUGUACUUAAUAUUUUGUUUGGAUUGUUGUUUUGUUUGUUAGUGUUCUCGGAGAUACGAUUGUGUAUA